rfam:Myotis lucifugus cont2.6326, whole genome shotgun sequence.
GGGAGAGAGCACCAUUUUCCCUACUUGGCAAUCUGUGAGGUGAUUUACUGUCACUAAAAGCUUUGGG